rnacentral:rRNA from 1 species
GAUGAACGCUGGCGGCGUGCUUAAUACAUGCAAGUCGAGCGAACGGACGAGAAGCUUGCUUCUUUGAUGUUAGCGGCGGACGGGUGAGUAACACGUGGAUAAUCUACUUAUAAGACUGGUAUAACUUCGGGAAACCGUAGCUAAUACCGGAUAAUAUUCUGAACCGCAUGGUUCAAAAGUGAAAGACGGCCUUGCUGUCACUUAUAGAUGGAUCCCCGCUGCAUUAGCUAGUUGGUAAGGUAACGGGUUAUCAAGGCAACGAUGCGUAGCCGAACUCAGAGAGUGGUCGGCCACACUGGAACUGGGACACGGUCCAGACUCCUGCGGGAGGCCGCAGUCGGGAAUGGUACGCAGUAGGCGGAAGCCUGACGGAGCGACGGCGCGUGAGUGAUGGCAAUGUUGCGUGCGUAAAACUCUGUUUUUAGGGGAGAACAUAUGUGUAAUGUGCUGUGCACAGCUUGACGGUACCUAAUCAGAAAGCCACGGCUAACUACGUG